CUCAUGCAAAACACGACGCCUUCUCAUUGCGUUUUGAAAUCGCGUAAAGGCUAGAUACCUAGUAGUUCAGUUUUAACAAAAAAAGACGGAAGAUUGAAAGAUUGAUUUAAAUUGAAAGACGUUUUUACUGAUUGUUAAAAGAUCCUGUGACAAAGAUUUCUGCUUGCAGGAUAUAUUGGUUGGAAACGAGGUUUUAAUUAAAAAGGCUCAUAAUACUUUCAUAGUAUAUAAUACUAUUAAAUUGAUUCUCUAAGAGAGAUCAAAAGAAAUUCCUUGUGAGCAUCGAGCCAUUAAAUAUUUAGAGGUAUAUUGCAUUAACGAAUAGCAACUCCAAGCAGAAGAAAGAGGCUGUUGACAGAUAAGCAAAGAGAAAAACAAAAUGGCCACCAAGGCAAAUUGGGAUAUUAUGAUAUCCUACCAUCAUGCGUCUGGCAAGGAGUACAUGAAAAGGAUUAAAGAGUCAUUAUUAAAACAGGAUUACUCUGUUUGGACUGAUGAAGAUCGAGUGUAUGGAGAUUUAGGUGCACGGAUGGCAGAAGGCGUUGCAGGAUCAAAAUUGAUCAUUCUUUUACUUUCAAAGGGAUAUGAAGAAUCUAAAAACUGUCAGAAAGAAUACAACUUGGCCUGUGCGCAACACAAGAAAAUUAUCUGUGUAAUAGUUGAGAAAGGUUAUAAACCUCCAGCAGACCAUGUGCUCAGUUUGAUCCUGGGCAAUAACAUGUACUACCAAUUAUACAGAGGUGAUGAAACAACUUUUCAAAAUCUAUUAAAAGACAUCUCACAACAGCUAUUAGGAGAAGCCCCAGUAAAGACUGAGCCCAUUUUGAAUUUUUGGAUGUAUAAAGACAAAGAAGAAAAUAUCAUUGUUAAGUUUCAUAAUAAAAACUUAAAAACCGUUCAGAGAAUUACUAUACAACAGGACGGUAGUGAUACCAAGGUAGAACUGAAAGAAUCAUCGUACUUUUAUGAAGAAAUAGGAGACAAUAAGCUUGUAUUAACAAUAUAUAAGGCAGCUACCCGGUACAUCCUAAAACUUGUCAUAUCGUUGCUGGACAUUGAUGGAAAUAAAGAGAUUUUUGAAGUAGACAAUGUCAACAUUGCCUGCGCUCACAAGUAUUACAACAAAGAAAGUAACUUUUCUCUCCAUACACAUAAUAGCGACAAAGUUGCAGCACAUAUUAAGUCAAUUAUCAGCACCCCUGUUCUUGAAACUAACAUUCAGCUGUUCUGUUGUGGAGAAGUAUAUGAAAAAAGUAGAAACGAAUACUUAAGAUUUUCAAGAAAUUAUGUUAAUGAAAACUGCACAUCCAACAAUGCCUUUCUAAAAGAAGCCGUCCAAUUUCCACCACCAAUGGUAAAUGAAGAGAUUUCCAGCUUUGCAUUUCGACUAAAGUCAAUUCUCAGUGAAAUUGGGCACGUGUUUGUGAUCUUCACACAUUACAAUGCCACGGAAAAUCUGAGACUUCUAAAUUUAAAUACUUAUUGUGAUCGUGUUCAAGAUUAUAAACACAGACUUCUGCUGCUCCAUCCAUCUCAAAAUACCUUCGUCAACAUAAGAUACACUAAAACUACUAGUGGGUCAAUCAUUGAGGAAGAAUUUCAAAAUGGUGAGGCAGAUAUCAAACAUUUGUUUUCAAUCAAUCAACAAUUUAUCUUGAAUAGUACCUCCAGAUUUAUAAAUGUUGUUGCUGCACCAAAUUUCCAAACGUUAGAGAACAUCGACGUUUGUGCAAACUGUCAAUUGUUAGAUCAGUCUAUUUUCUCGGAUGACACAAAGGUUCAAAAUUUCCUUCUAUCUCUUGGAUUAACAAGAAAAGACCUUGAUCACAAAAGCAAAGAGCAGUACAUGAACAUAUUGGGUCAAGCAAUGUGUUUCAUGGCUUGUAGAGAAACUAUGAACACUGUUCCAACAAUCAAAGAUGACAUCCAUGGGAAAAUAUGCAGUGUUCUAUUGUCAUCUGAACAGUCAAAUAUUUUGUUUGACGAAUCUAAAAAGAAAAUUAUUGUUGGACCAUUAGGAAGUGGUAAAUCGGUUCUUGCUUUAUCUCAUCUAAAACAACUUUACCAAUGUUGUGAAGGAAAAUGCACAAUAUAUUAUGUCAUGUGGAGUGACAAAACAAUACUGCUGAAAGGUAUUGAAAAAUUCGUCUCAAAAUUUCAAUGCAACAAAAAUACCACUGUAAAAGUAAAGAAUGCAAUUGAAUUAGCGAAAGAGCUCAAUCUCUUUAAACUUCCAACCUUAUCCCAAUUAUUACUGUUGUUGUUAAAGAAACACGGUGGUAUGUCAUUUCAUUUUAUAAGUGACGAAGUUGAUGGAGCGAUGUUUGACAAACAAGAAGCUUUAUCGCUGAAGCAGAUUUUGGAGAGGGAAGAGGCUUUAAAGAAUUCCAUGAUUGUGUUGUUUCUGCAAUCUUUGGAAAAGCACAGGAUAUUGGUUUCAUCUGGAGAAUUAAAAAGCCAUGAUAAAUACAAGUACGAAGAAGCUGGUAUGCGUGUGUUUUACCUCAAUAAAUCAAUGCGAACAACGAAGAAUAAUUUUAACUUCUUGGUACAAUUUGAGAAGAAAAUUUCCGGGAUUGAAUCAGUUAUCAAACAUCCUGUUCAGGACAAAAAUCAUGAAAUAUCAUCAGCAAAAUCUGGAACGACCAGCUCUACCAUUCAACAAAAUUCAAAGCAGCGUAAAGUCUUAGAAAUAAAGAAUUCACAAGUAGAAUCAGCCGAAGAAAGUAAAAAGAUUUUUGAAGAACCAGUGGAUAUAGAGGAAAUUGCAGCUGCCUCACAUUAUCCAGAUGUUUCUGAAGAUAUCAAAACCCUAACCAAAGUGAAAUGCAACUCUGCGCAAGAAGUUGGACAUAACAUUGAAGGUACAAAGCCAAUACUGAUACAUCUUAAUUAUGAAAAUGAAACAGAAGAACAAAGUAUUGUCAUGUUAGCUCUCUCGUUGGAAUACUAUCUAGAUCUUGUUAAUAUUAAACGUUUAUUUUUUCAUAACACUGUGGAACAAAUGAUCACGUUUCGAAAAGUUUUGGAUUUAAUCAGAAGGGAUUAUUUUGUUUAUAACAAACAAACUGAAUGGAGUGUCAUCGACCGCUGCAAUAAAGUGUGUGAUCUUCCUGCAGACGUGGGUUAUAAUAUAAUAACCGACGUACACGGUAGUAGAGGAACAGACUUUUGUGAAACCGUAUGUGCUAUUGACGUAAAUGACACUAUGUUGCGACACAAGACGUUAGAAGGCAUGUCCAGAGUAACUGAACGCCUGAUAAUUGUUUGCGCGUGUAACAUACAGUCUGCUACUACAAAUUCAUCAACUGGACAUAUCAUUAAAGAUCUGUUACCGGAGUACCUAAAUGAGGUUUCUGUUGAAUGCGCAAAAAAUUCAAAUAAAGACUUACAUUACAUUGAAAUGCAAGUCAGUGACAAAAAAUCGAUAGGUUUUGUGAAUACAAAUUCGCGCAGAUACAAAAAUCUGAUGGAACGGAUAAAGAAAAUUAAAUAUGAAAAGGAUGAAUCAGAUGUGCAUGAUUUCGCGCGAGUUAUACGUAAAAAUUUCCAGCCUCCAACAAUCAACGUGAGCUGCAACUUUUCAAACGACCGUUCCUGUACAAUUAAUUGGAAUGAGGAAGGAUAUCGUUACGUAAUUAAUAUGGAGAACGACAGAUCACAAUGGCAGAACGUAGAGCAUGUCAUCACGUUUGGUGGAUGUGUUAUCAACAAUUUAGUUAUUGGAAAUAAAUACAAGUUUCGUGUUUUGGCUAGUAACGACUUUGGUCAAGCUCAAAGUGUUGUAUCGUAUCGACAUGUAAAUAAUCUUCCAUCAAGUCGUGCAGAUAUGUCUGUCACUUUUGAAGGUAAGUUCAAUUGCUUGGAAACAGGGCUACAGAUAAAAUUUGGUAAAUUUCAAAAAAAAAAUUGUAUGCUCUGUAUGCUAAUAUUAAAAAGGUUUUGAUGAUGCUAAGUUGAACCAAUCAUUGAAACCAAAAUAAUACGUUAUAUCACGUGAUUUGAAUAUUUGCGUACCAAAUCUAUAAAUGUUAAUAGUUAUUAUAUUUAUUAAAAAAAGUUAAGGCUGGUUGAGGUUGUCCAUCUUCUGUUGCAAUCCGUUUUAAGCAUUUGAUGACAGCAGUGAUUGUUUCAGACUUUCGGCUUUAUCUUUCGAUAUCCAGUAAAGAUAAAAGUUAGUUUUUGAUAACAUCAGCAUGACCUUUUUGAACAAAUUAUAGGGCAUUUGUUCUGUACGUUAGCAUGUUAGAUUGAGUAAGUAACAUCUCUUAAACCUUUUCGUAUCAGCAACAGUAUAACUCUCGCAUAUUUUUAACCAACCCUGUUUAUUGAUUUUAAAAAAUAAUCACGAAACAGAAAUGAUAUAUUUUUGACCUACAUCGUAGUCAUAGUGCUUGUGAAACAUUUUAAUUUUUAUUAAUCACCGGGAAACGUGUCCAAAGUAAAAUAUGAAAUUCCUUUAUGGUGAAAUGUUAACUUUGCUACUAUUAUUUUCCUUGAGUUGAUAGGAUAUUUUGUAUAUCCAGUGCAGCUUUCUCCUGGUAAACAGAAGCACAAAAAGAUUUACAUGUUAUCAAACUGUAAUUGUAUUGAAAAAUCUUUUUUUUUAAUAUAAUCAAAUCUCUUUUCUUUGAAAUGCUUUGAAAAUAUAAAAUUAAAAUAAUCAAGCAUUACGAAAUCAAAGAUGCACUAGAGAUCCAUAUUUUAUUCUCAAGGUCAUUUUUUUUGGUGAAUAAGAAUUUUCAAUUUUCUCGACAAUUAUAUGUAGUUUAAUCGAACUUUAGAAAAUUGAACUAAAACGUUACUUCUGAAUCAAUUACUAUUGCUGACCUCUACUAUAAAGUUGCCUCCCUAUACUUUAACAAAAGCAAACGGAAAAUAGUCAAGGUAUUUUUUUAAUCCUGUUUGGUUGAUAGGCUCCUUUUUCUCUUCCACAUAUAGUGUGGCAAAUUAAAAAACAGUAAAAAAAUGUUUUAAUCCAGCAUAAAAGAAAUUAAUAAUUUUUCUAAUUGCAUUUUCAAAGAGGUAGGAAUGAAAAUUAUUUUUUUGCGUGGUAUUACUUAAAAUUAUUGGGGUAGUAAUUGGGAUGGCGGCUGGGGUAGUUAAAUCGUAUAAUCGAAGCGUAUAUUUUGUAAAUAUACAUUGUAGAUUCAAUUUAACUGUAAUACUAUUUGAAUUGGGUGUAAAGUUGUUAAACAAAAGUUUUACCUGUACAUUAAGUUUACAACGCGUAGCUCCGCAAUAUUUAUAUGUUGCAGGAUAAUGCAGAUCUUAUGCCUUCGCAAAAUUUGGCCACCGUGUCAAAUUGAUCACUAUUGAAAAAAGAUGGGCAAUGUUGAACAGUUCGGCUCCUAUAGGAUAGUUACCAAACUUGUCUUCAGGAACUGUUAGGCUUUUUAUAGUUGGACGGCCUAGUAUAAUACAAGCCAUUAUCCAUAGCCAUAAAGGUUUGAGUAUACGGGUUGUGAAUUAGUGAAAUUCUUAUGAAGCUAUAGCCUCGUUUCCAUACUAUUUCAAUAUUGUAAAGAGAAUUUCAUCCGGAGAAAAUUUGUCAGCAGGACCGGGGAAAAGCCUCCUUUCCAAGUUAUUUAUAUUUAACCGUAAUGGCUGGCCUCGAUUCCAUGUUAUUUGGUCAUUGACACGAGAACAUCAUAACCUAAAGAUUUGCUGUAAGAGCCUUCUUUUCAAGUUAUUAGCAACCUUACGAAACAAGAACGGGAGCAUUUGCGACGGAGAAAAUACUAUUAUUUUUUCAAGCAUGUACAGAUCAGGACAAUCCCCCAAAACAAGGUUGACAUUUUUCCUUCGAUUUGAAAAGAACCAUUUUGAGCUUGUGGAUAGAGCGUCAAGUAUUUAAGAAAGUAAAAAUGUGAUAUGGAAAUAUUAUUGAUACAGAAACAGCGUAUAUAAGUUUUUCCCUAAAUUGUGUCACUUUUUUUUGCAUUUUUUUGAUAGUUGCCAUGGUUUUAUUUUAUAUUGUAACUUUCGUUUAACUUUUCUUAAGCAAUUAUUGGCGCGUUUUGCGUACAACGGGAUUUCAUGAAAAGUUAUUGUCAACAUUGUUGCAGAUAAACUUUUGUAAAAGUCUCUACUUACACUUGAAAAUUAUCGCUAAUAGAAACAAUUCAGUGCAAAUCUUAUGGGAAGGUUUCCAUCUGCAAAACUUAUCAGUGGCAAAGGAAAGCACAUAAUGAUCUGGUCUGUAGAAUGAAACUACCACCAAAAACACCACCCUAAACAAUACCCCGACUUCAUUCUCAAGACCCCUAUUUGCUUUCUUAUAUCGGGACGGCGCAAAAGAGGAAGGGGUCUUGAGGACGAGGUUGGGAUACCCCAUGUUUUCAAAUAACCGAUCGCGUGUCAGAGAAACAUCUUUGAAAGUAUUCGUGCAGACGAAAUCGAAUAUAUUGAGUACAAUUUGUUCUAUUUUUAUCAGUAUAUCAUACUCAACCAAAACAAAUAUGUUUCAUUCAACAAAUAAUUUUGAUAAAAUCCGGUCGUUUGAGGUUAGAGAAAAUUUAAUUUUGAUAAAAGUAGCAGCUAGUUUUUAUUAUACAUUAUUUUUUUUCAUGAGAAACCCGUUUACAAUUAACGGAGUAUUUUACUAAGAGCUGUGUACCUAAGUCUCGUGUUCUUUAGAACUUGUUCUUAUAAAUAACCGAUCGCGUGUCAGAAAAACAUCUUUGAAAUAUUCGUGCAGACGAAAUCGAAUAUAUUGAGUACAGUCGUUCUAUUUUUAUCACUAUAUCAUACUCAACCAAAACGAAUAUGUUUCAUUCAACAACGGGUUCUGAUAACAACAGGAUGUGAAUAAGAUAUCGUGGAAAUUAUUGAAUCUAACGAUAUCGAGAAACUGAAAAAAUUACUAUCCAUUCAUCCAAACAUCGUUCACAUGAGAGGUGAACGUGAACGCACACCAUUGUUGUGGA